CAGUGGGGAAUAUUGGACAAUGGGGGGAACCCUGAUCCAGCCAUGCCGCGUGUGUGAAGAAGGCCUUCUGGUUGUAAAGCACUUUAAGCGAGGAGGAGGCUACUUAGAUUAAUACUCUUGGAUAGUGGACGUUACUCGCAGAAUAAGCACCGGCUAACUCUGUGCCAGCAGCCGCGGUAAUACAGAGGGUGCGAGCGUUAAUCGGAUUUACUGGGCGUAAAGCGUGCGUAGGCGGCUGAUUAAGUCGGAUGUGAAAUCCCUGAGCUUAACUUAGGAAUUGCAUUCGAUACUGGUCAGCUAGAGUAUGGGAGAGGAUGGUAGAAUUCCAGGUGUAGCGGUGAAAUGCGUAGAGAUCUGGAGGAAUACCGAUGGCGAAGGCAGCCAUCUGGCCUAAUACUGACGCUGAGGUACGAAAGCAUGGGGAGCAAACAGGAUUAGAUACCCUGGUAGUCCAUGCCGUAAACGAUGUCUACUAGCCGUUGGGGCCUUUGAGGCUUUAGUGGCGCAGCUAACGCG
rnacentral:rRNA from 1 species